GAUGAACGCUGGCGGCGUGCCUAAUACAUGCAAGUCGAGCGAACAGACGAGGAGCUUGCUCCUCUGACGUUAGCGGCGGACGGGUGAGUAACACGUGGAUAACCUACCUAUAAGACUGGGAUAACUUCGGGAAACCGGAGCUAAUACCGGAUAAUAUAUUGAACCGCAUGGUUCAAUAGUGAAAGACGGUUUUGCUGUCACUUAUAGAUGGAUCCGCGCCGCAUUAGCUAGUUGGUAAGGUAACGGCUUACCAAGGCGACGAUGCGUAGCCGACCUGAGAGGGUGAUCCGCCACACUGGAACUUAGACACGGUCCAGACUCCUACGGGAGGCAGCAGUAGGGAAUCUUCCGCAAUGGGCGAAAGCCUGACGGAGCAACGCCGCGUGAGUGAUGAAGGUCUUCGGAUCGUAAAACUCUGUUAUUAGGGAAGAACAAAUGUGUAAGUAACUAUGCACGUCUUGACGGUACCUAAUCAGAAAGCCACGGCUAACUACGUG
rnacentral:rRNA from 1 species